UGGGGAAUAUUGGACAAUGGGCGAAAGCCUGAUCCAGCCAUGCCGCGUGUGUGAAGAAGGUCUUCGGAUUGUAAAGCACUUUAAGUUGGGAGGAAGGGCAGUUACCUAAUACGUAUCUGUUUUGACGUUACCGACAGAAUAAGCACCGGCUAACUCUGUGCCAGCAGCCGCGGUAAUACAGAGGGUGCAAGCGUUAAUCGGAAUUACUGGGCGUAAAGCGCGCGUAGGUGGUUAGUUAAGUUGGAUGUGAAAUCCCCGGGCUCAACCUGGGAACUGCAUUCAAAACUGACUGACUAGAGUAUGGUAGAGGGUGGUGGAAUUUCCUGUGUAGCGGUGAAAUGCGUAGAUAUAGGAAGGAACACCAGUGGCGAAGGCGACCACCUGGACUGAUACUGACACUGAGGUGCGAAAGCGUGGGGAGCAAACAGGAUUAGAUACCCCUGUAGUCCCUGAGCGGGCUGGCAAGGCGCAU
rnacentral:rRNA from 1 species